UACGAAGGGGGCUAGCGUUGCUCGGAAUUACUGGGCGUAAAGCGCGUGUAGGCGGCCCUGUAAGUCGGGUGUGAAAUCCCACGGCUCAACCGUGGAAGUGCAUUCGAAACUACAGGGCUAGAGUUCUGGAGAGGAAGGUGGAAUGCUUGGUGUAGAGGUGAAAUUCGUAGAUAUCAAGCGGAACACCGGUGGCGAAGGCGGCGUCCUGGACCAACACUGACACUGAUGAGCGAAAGCCAGGGGAGCAAACGGG
rnacentral:rRNA from 1 species